UACGGGGGGGGCAAGCGUUGUUCGGAAUUACUGGGCGUAAAGGGCUCGUAGGCGGCCAACUAAGUCAGACGUGAAAUCCCUCGGCUUAACCGGGGAACUGCGUCUGAUACUGGAUGGCUUGAGAUUGGGAGAGGGAUGCGGAAUUCCAGGUGUAGCGGUGAAAUGCGUAGAUAUCUGGAGGAACACCGGUGGCGAAGGCGGCAUCCUGGACCAUUACUGACACUGAGAAGCGAAAGCCAGGGGAGCAAACGGG
rnacentral:rRNA from 1 species